rnacentral:rRNA from 1 species
GACGAACGCUGGCGGCGUGCUUAACACAUGCAAGUCGAACGCUGAAGCCCCAGCUUGCUGGGGUGGAUGAGUGGCGAACGGGUGAGUAACACGUGAGUAACCUGCCCCUGACUUCGGGAUAAGCCCGGGAAACUGGGUCUAAUACCGGAUACGACUAUCGGACGCAUGUCUGGUGGUGGAAAGUUUUUUCGGUUGGGGAUGGGCUCGCGGCCUAUCAGUUUGUUGGUGAGGUAAUGGCUCACCAAGACGACGACGGGUAGCCGGCCUGAGAGGGCGACCGGCCACACUGGGACUGAGACACGGCCCAGACUCCUACGGGAGGCAGCAGUGGGGAAUAUUGCACAAUGGGGGAAACCCUGAUGCAGCGACGCAGCGUGCGGGAUGACGGCCUUCGGGUUGUAAACCGCUUUCAGCAGGGAAGAAGCCUUCGGGUGACGGUACCUGCAGAAGAAGUACCGGCUAACUACGUG